ensembl:snRNA U6 U6 spliceosomal RNA
GUUCUUCCAACGCCCAUUUCAGCAGAACAUAUACCAAAAUUCAAAUGAUAUGGAGAAGAUUAGCAUGUCCCUGCAUGAGGAUGACAUGCAAAUUUAUGAAGCAUUCUAAACUAUA